GAGGAAUAAGCAUCGGCUAACUCCGUGCCAGCAGCCGCGGUAAUACGGGGGAUGCAAGCGUUAUCCGGAAUCAUUGGGCGUAAAGCGCCUGUAGGUUGUUUAAUAAGUCUGUUGUUAAAGACUAGGGCUCAACCCUAGGAAAGCAAUGGAAACUACUAGACUUGAGUAUGAUAGGGGUAGAGGGAAUUUCUAGUGUAGCGGUGAAAUGCGUAGAUAUUAGGAAGAACACCGGUGGCGAAGGCGCUCUACUGGAUCAUUACUGACACUCAGAGGCGAAAGCUAGGGUAGCAAAAGGGAUUAGAUACCCCUGUAGUCCUAGCCGUAAACGAUGGAUACUAGAUGUUGCGUUUAUUAUGCAGUAUCGUAGCUAACGCGUUAAGUAUCCCGCCUGGGGAGUACGCUCGCAAGGGUGAAACUCAAAGGAAUUGACGGGGGCCCGCACAAGCGGUGGAGCAUGUGGUUUAAUUCGAUGCAACGCGAAGAACCUUACCAAGGCUUGACAUACUACAAAUUUCUUUGAAAGAGGAAAGUGCCUUCGGGAAUGUAGAUACAGGUGGUGCAUGGCUGUCGUCAGCUCGUGUCGUGAGAUGUUGGGUUAAGUCCCGCAACGAGCGCAACCCUUAUUUUUAGUUGCUAAUUUAUUAGGUUUUCUAGAAAGACUGCCGGUGACAAACCGGAGGAAGGUGAGGAUGACGUCAAGUCAGCAUGCCCCUUAUGCCUUGGGCUACACACGUGCUACAAUGGUUAAGACAAAGAGUUGCGAGCUCGCGAGAGUCAGCUAAUCUCAUAAACUUAGCCUAAGUUCGGAUUGUAGGCUGCAACUCGCCUACGUGAAG
rnacentral:rRNA from 1 species